CAGCACUGAUUUAACAUCAGUGGAAUUACAUUCAAAAAACAGAGCUCAGAAUUUUUCCGAAUUAGAUUAUUGCUCUGUAUCCUUAUUUCCACCAAAGGCCAGACCUGGUGGUUCCAGGGUUUCUGGUCCAUGUCCACAGGACCUAACCAGGAACCCAGGACAUCUUGAGACUCUCCUGCGCAAAAAAAAUAAACCUUAAUGUUACCACCCUCGUCAGCACGUUAAUUCAUCACCAUGAAAUUAGAAGAGUGUGCAAUAACGUGCCAAAAAAAAAAAAAAAAUUCCUGGGCCUUAGGUUUACGCUUUUUUCCUGAGCUAAAAUUGCUGGACUAAAAUUGUUGUACUGUAGUUCCCAGGCAUUAGUUCCUGAGCUAAAAUUCUUGAACUGAAAAUAUGCACUUUAGUUGCAUUGCUACGCUUCCUGGACAUACAUUCCUCUGCUUCCUGGGCUAAAGUUUCAGACUAACACUGCUGAAGUUCUUGAACUGUAUUCCCCAGGCAUUAGUUCCUGGGCUUAUAUUAUUUGGACUUAAGAUCCUUGAGUGAAAAAACAAUGUGGUCUUAAGUUCCUGGACUUAAAUUCCUCUGCUUAAGUUGCUGGACCAAAGUUCUCUGCUUAUGUCCCUGACCCUAAAUUGAUGUCUUUCAUUCCUAGGCGAAGGUUCCUGGGCUUAAAUCCAUGGGUUUAAGUUCCUGGGGUAAAUUUGCUGGACUUUAAGUUUCCACCCUAAGGUUCCUGGACUAAAGUGGGGGACGAAAAGUGCUAGGUUAAAGUUCUUGAACUAACUUUCAAAGGCAUUAGUUCCUGGGCUUAAAUUCUUGGACUUAAGAUCCUGGACUGAAAAUAUUGUCAUAAGUUUGUUUGCUAGAAUUUCCAGACCUUUGCUUAAGUUGCUGGUCUAAAGGUGUUCCUUUAAAGGUGUUCCUUUAGACCAGCAGCUUAAGCAGAGGUCUGGGAAUUCUAGCAAACAAACUUAUGACAAUUACCGGAAUAAAGUUGCUGGGUCUUAAAAGUCUGUCCUUGGUCUAAACUUUCCCUGGUCUAAAGUGACUGGAUGGCAGUUCUUAGACUAUAGUUCCCAGACAUCAGUUCCUGGCUAAAAAAAUAUGGUCAUAAUUCUGCUGUUUAGUUUUCUGGAAUAAAUGUCUCUUCCUAAUUCCUGGCCUUAAAUUCCUUGGCUAAAGUUCCCAGUCUUAUGUUCGGGGCUACUGUUUUGGACUGACGUUCCUGGGCUGAAAUUUCUGAGCUUAGGUCUCUGGAAUAAAGUUCCUGGGCCUUAAGUUUCUGGAUAAGGUUCCUGGAUUGAGGUGGCCAUUAAAAUUGCUGAACUAAACGUCUUGGAUUAUAUUUCCCCAGACAUUAGUUCCUGGAUUUAAACUCCUUCAUGGAGGUUGCUGGAUUUAAGUUUCUGGGCUAAAAUUGCUGUGCGGAAACUUCUUAAGCUAAAGUGUUAACAUUUCUGGAUUUAAAUUGCUCUGCUUAAGUUCUUGACCUUAAGCUCUUUGACUAAAGUGAAGAUCCAGGUAUAAAAUUCCUGGACUUAAGUUCCCAGACUGAAGCAUUGGACUAAACUUGCUGGACUUAAGUUUCUAGGCUAAAGGCCAGAGUAUAAAGUUCCUGAGUUUAUUCCUGGGCCUGAAUUUCUGCUUAGCAGAUUUUGGACUAAAGUUUCUGGCCUCCUCAGCAGAAAUACAGCUGCUGUGGUUUAACCAAAUUCCUGACAUCGAUCGUUUUAGGAUAACGCUUACGUUCUCAUUGAUUACCUUCGCUCCUGAUGCCUUACACUGUGUCGCGUUACAGUAUCAUUACAGACGGUGACAUGGUCACAUGCUGGGAUGCGUUUUAGCGGUGACGCAAUGCAACAAAAAGCAAGUCGGCUGUAAUCAACUUAACAGUUAUUCACAAAGAAUAUUACACUUCAGACAUUUUUUACUUGCCUAUUAAACAUGGACAAUAUUAGACACCAUAGCCGGGGGUUAGUAUUUCCUCCCAUCGUUACUCAUGAAUGUGUUUUUGUGCUACAUUUGGACUCUUUUUUUAUGCAUUCGAGUUUUGAUUAUUUAAAAAAAAAGAAAAAGAAAAAGUGAAGCUUUUGCAGAUGUGGCCUGUGUAUUGUUGCAGCUAUGUGAGGUGCUUAUUAAUGAAGUUAUGUGUGCAGUGCAUUGUGGGAUUUCUCUCGCGGGUUCCUCACAGACCCCCUUAAUUGGUUUCCACUCUCAAAAGCGUACAGUUCUUUCAGUAAGUGUGAGAUGCAGGGUGAAAACACCAAACCUCGUAAGUCUGUCCCACCCCCCAACCCCCCUCAGUUAUUCUCACCGGCGCAGGACAGCAUUUCGGUCUUCUGUUGGAUUUUUUGUUUUUAAUUGCCAAGAAUGUCUGUUCAUCCCUUAUUCCCAAACGCAGCCAUGCGCGCAACAAAUCUAGAUUAUUCGGUACCGAAUUCUUGGUACAGUGUUUUCCGUAGAAUACGUAGAUCUAGGGUAUAAUCCAUAAUCUGGAAAACUGGACAAGUUAGUAUACUGACUGCUAAUUCUAGAUGUUAAAGGCUCAGGACUAGUUUUAAUCAGUGCCCAGAAACGGUUUUAUUUACAAGGGCCUAGGAUUGAAUUUUUUUUUUCCCCUAACGUUUAUUUAGUUAUUUAUUGUGGCUUAUUUAUUUUUAUUCCUAGUUACUUGUAGUCCGAUCCUCAGUUUGGGUUACAUUCUGCCCCUCACCAUGUGGCUUUAAUUUGGGUUUUCCAGUUUCCUCUCACCUCCCUAAAACAUACCAGUGAGGGAAUUGGUUAAGAUAAAUCACCCCCUAGGUCUGAACGAGUGUGUGAAAGUGUGUGUGUGUGUGUGUAGGUGUGUGUGGUGCCCUGCGAUGUACUGGCAUCC
ensembl:lncRNA